CCUACGGGAGACAGCAGUAGGGAAUCUCUCACAAUGGGCGAAAGCCUGAUGGAGCAACGCCGCGUGCAGGAUGAAGGCCUUCGGGUUGUAAACUGCUUUUAUAAGCGAGAAAUAUGAUGGUAACUUAUGAAUAAGGAUCGGCUAACUACGUGCCAGCAGCCGCGGUCAUACGUAGGAUCCGAUCAUUAUCCGGAGUGACUGGGUGUAAAGAGUUGCGUAGGUGGCAUAAUAAGUAGCUAGUGAAAUCUGGUGGCUCAACCAUUCAGACUAUUAGCUAAACUGUUAAGCUCGAGACCGUUAGGGGUAACUGGAAUUUCUAGUGUAGGAGUGAAAUCCGUAGAUAUUAGAAGGAACACCAAUAGCGUAGGCAGGUUGCUGGGACGGUUCUGACACUAAGGCACGAAAGCGUAGGGAGCAAACGGGAUUAGAUACCCCUGUAGUC
rnacentral:rRNA from 1 species